CCUACGGGGGGCAGCAGUGAGGAAUAUUGGUCAAUGGACGCAAGUCUGAACCAGCCAUGCCGCGUGAAGGAUGAAGGCCUUUGGGUUGUAAACUUCUUUUAUCUGGGAAGCGGUACCAGAGGAAUAAGCACCGGCUAACUCCGUGCCAGCAGCCGCGGUAAUACGGAGGGUGCAAGCGUUAUCCGGAUUCACUGGGUUUAAAGGGUGUGUAGGCGGGCAGUUAAGUCAGUGGUGAAAUCUCCGAGCUCAACUUGGAAACUGCCAUUGAUACUAUCUGUCUUGAAUUUUGUUGAGGUAGGCGGAAUAUGUCAUGUAGCGGUGAAAUGCAUAGAUAUGACAUAGAACACCAAUUGCGAAGGCAGCUUACUAAACAAAAUUGACGCUGAGGCACGAAAGCGUGGGGAUCAAACAGGAUUAGAUACCCCGGUAGUC
rnacentral:rRNA from 1 species